ACGGGUGAGUAACGCGUGGGAACGUGCCUUCCGGUUCGGAAUAACCCUGGGAAACUAGGGCUAAUACCGGAUACGCCCUUAUGGGGAAAGGUUUACUGCCGGAAGAUCGGCCCGCGUCUGAUUAGCUAGUUGGUGGGGUAACGGCCUACCAAGGCGACGAUCAGUAGCUGGUCUGAGAGGAUGAUCAGCCACACUGGGACUGAGACACGGCCCAGACUCCUACGGGAGGCAGCAGUGGGGAAUAUUGGACAAUGGGCGCAAGCCUGAUCCAGCCAUGCCGCGUGAGUGAUGAAGGCCUUAGGGUUGUAAAGCUCUUUUAUCCGGGACGAUAAUGACGGUACCGGAGGAAUAAGCCCCGGCUAACUUCGUGCCAGCAGCCGCGGUAAUACGAAGGGGGCUAGCGUUGCCCGGAAUCACUGGGCGUAAAGGGCGCGUAGGCGGCGUUUUAAGUCGGGGGUGAAAGCCUGUGGCUCAACCACAGAAUGGCCUUCGAUACUGGGACGCUUGAGUAUGGUAGAGGUUGGUGGAACUGCGAGUGUAGAGGUGAAAUUCGUAGA
rnacentral:rRNA from 1 species